rnacentral:rRNA from 1 species
ACCGAGUUAUACAACUCCCAAACCCACUGUGAACCUUACCUCAGUUGCCUCGGCGGGAACGCCCCGGCCGCCUGCCCCCGCGCCGGCGCCGGACCCAGGCGCCCGCCGCAGGGACCCCAAACUCUCUUGCAUUACGCCCAGCGGGCGGAAUUUCUUCUCUGAGUUGCACAAGCAAAAACAAAUGAAUCAAAACUUUCAACAACGGAUCUCUUGGUUCUGGCAUCGAUGAAGAACGCAGCGAAAUGCGAUAAGUAAUGUGAAUUGCAGAAUUCAGUGAAUCAUCGAAUCUUUGAACGCACAUUGCGCCCGCCAGCAUUCUGGCGGGCAUGCCUGUUCGAGCGUCAUUUCAACCCUCGAGCCCCCCCGGGGGCCUCGGGGGUGGGGGACGGCACACCAGCCGCCCCCGAAAUGCAGUGGCGACCCCGCCGCAGCCUCCCCUGCGUAGUAGCACACACCUCGCACCGGAGCGCGGAGGCGGUCACGCCGUAAAACGCCCAACUUUCUUAGAGUUGACCUCGGAUCAGGUAGGAAUACCCGC